rnacentral:tRNA from 1 species
GGAGGGUAUAGCUCAGUGGUAGAGCACAUGCUUAUUAAGCAUGAGGUCCUGGGUUCAAUCCCCAGUACCUCCA